rnacentral:lncRNA from 1 species
AUGGUUGGUAGGUUUGGAGAAUCGAAGAAGAAACCGAUCAAGAAGAAGAAGGUGAAAAAGUCACCUCAAGAGAAGAAGGCAGAGGAAGAAUUGAGGAGAUUUGUUGUAUACUAAAUGAACUUUGUGGGUGUGUUCCUAUAUAACCCUCACGAGACCUACUCGUCCUCCCGCGUUAUCGGGAGGUUUAAAGGGCUUGCGUGCAUAUGCUAAAUGUCGCCGUGUUUCCUAUGAAAGUGAGUUAGGACUGUUGUACAAUAUUUUUCCACAAAAAUCAAAGUGAAUUAACGAAUGACUUGGUAAAUCCUUUAUAACAAUGGUAAAAUGGAUUAGCUAACGGGUGUUGAUUUUUGUGAGAAGCUUGCUUCUACACGAUUGUUGAGAUUUGUAGGUAAUUUCAUGUUCAUGAGGACGAGCAUUUUCAUUAAUGAUCGAGGAGCACAUGAUAAAUGAACAAAACCAGGUGUAUACGUUUCUUUUCAUUUGAUUUUUAUUUAUUAAAUAAGUGGGAAUAUAUUUUGUAUAUUAUUGACCGAGGUGAAGUUUGGGAAAUUGGUCGUGUCAUAUGCCUUGUGCAAUUUUAAAGCCACAUUAUUACACAUUGAGGAUAAUGUUGACCUCAAGUGUGGGGAUAGGGAGAAAAAGAUUUCGAUUUUGACCCUUUUAUUUAAAUAUUACACAUUGAGAACAAUGUGGAUCUCAAGUGUGGGGAUGUGGCAAAAAUUUCAAAAAUUUUUCAAUAUGUCUUUGUUCGAGCAAUCUAAAAAGCACAAGUAACUAAGUCAAUGAGGUAUGACAUAACCCAUUUGGUUUUUUGUCAUGGUCAAGUUCGAAUUAUUAACAUGACAGGUAUUUAGCGGGUGAUUAUUUGGGAAUAGUCCGAUUAAGAAACUAAUAUAUUUUGCAUAUCACAUAUCCUACCCUUUUACGUGAGAUUUUGAGCCACUUUUACACAUCAUAGAUAUAUAUUUCUUGGUUUGAGUGUGCCAUUAGUUGCGUAUUGUAGAACUUGCAACUUUUGAUGCGUUUGAGACUAUAGACCGAGUACGAGCACAAGAAUGAUUAAGGCAUUAAGUAAACCUUUUCUUUUUUACACCAUUUAUCUUAUCCUUACCCAAAAUCAAUCCCUUAGUCGCCAACUUGCAGCCUAAACCUUUCGUUUGACCAACCUAUUUAGCCUUUGAUCGUUAAACUUUAUUUAUUUUUAACCCGUGUGAUGAAAAUUCGAUUCUAGAAUUAGUUUGUUUGUAAAGUUGCAAAAAAAAAAAUUAAUAAUAAAUAAAUCAA